UAGGGAAUUUUGCGCAAUGGGGGAAACCCUGACGCAGCAACGCCGCGUGAUUGACUAAGCCCUUCGGGGUGUAAAGAUCUGUCAGUGGGGACGAAUUUUGACGGUACCCACAAAGGAAGCACCGGCUAACUCCGUGCCAGCAGCCGCGGUAAUACGGGGGGUGCAAGCGUUGUCCGGAAUCAUUGGGCGUAAAGCGUUCGUAGGCGGCAUACCAAGUCUGGUGUUAAAUCCCGGGGCUCAACUCCGGUUCGGCACUGGAUACUGGUAAGCUAGAAUGUGGUAGAGGUAAAGGGAAUUCCUGGUGUAGCGGUGAAAUGCGUAGAUAUCAGGAGGAACACCGGUGGCGUAAGCGCUUUACUGGGCCAUAAUUGACGCUGAGGAACGAAAGCCGGGGGAGCAAAUG
rnacentral:rRNA from 1 species